UACGAAGGGGGCUAGCGUUGUUCGGAUUUACUGGGCGUAAAGCGCACGUAGGCGGAUCGUUAAGUCAGGGGGUGAAAUCCUGGGGCUCAACCCCAGAACUGCCUUUGAUACUGGCGAUCUCGAGUCCGGAAGAGGUGAGUGGAACUCCUAGUGUAGAGGUGGAAUUCGUAGAUAUUAGGAAGAACACCAGUGGCGAAGGCGGCUCACUGGUCCGGUACUGACGCUGAGGUGCGAAA
rnacentral:rRNA from 1 species